CGAAAGAAAAUAAAAAUCAAUGAGCAACACAGAGAGGGGUAUUGGUUUUUGCCAUUGUUUUUGUCCCUGCAGAAAAACCUAGAAUCAACAACCAAUUCACAACAGGCCGGCCUCUCCAUCAUCUUCUUGGUUUCAAAAGUUGCUGAGAAAAAACGAAGAGGAAACGCAGACAAAGUGAGCACAGAAGGAAGAUAAAGGGAAACUAUAGGCGAGGAUCCAUCAGCACUGCAAGCGUCUUCGGUCUCCAGCACCAGGUAAGCAAACCUGUGCUUCUUG
rnacentral:lncRNA from 1 species